rnacentral:rRNA from 1 species
AUUGAACGCUGGCGGCAUGCUUUACACAUGCAAGUCGAACGGUAACAGGGUGCUUGCACCGCUGACGAGUGGCGAACGGGUGAGUAAUACAUCGGAAUGUACCCAGUAAUGGGGGAUAACGCUUCGAAAGGAGUGCUACUACCGCAUACGCCCUGAGGGGGAAAGUGGGGGACCGCAAGGCCUCACGAUAGUGGAGCAGCCGAUGGCUGAUUAGCUAGUUGGUGAGGUAAAGGCUCACCAAGGGGACGAUCAGUAGCGGGUCUUAGAGGACGAUACGCCACACUGGAACUGAGACACGGUCCAGACUCCUACGGGAGGCAGCAGUGGGGAAUCUUGGACAAUGGGCGAAAGCCUGAUCCAGCAAUGCCGCGUGCGUGAAGAAGGCCUUCGGGUUGCAAAGCGCUUUUGUCUGGGAGCAAAUCCUGGCCUCUAAUACAGGUCGGGGAUGAGAGUACCAGAAGAAUAAGGACCGGCUAACUACGUGCCAGCCGCCGCGGUAAUAC